rnacentral:rRNA from 1 species
AUUGAACGCUGGCGGCAGGCCUAACUCAUGCAAGUCGAGCGGUAGCACAGGGAGCUUGCUCCUGGGUGACGAGCGGCGGACGGGUGAGUAAUGUCUGGGAAACUGCCUGAUGGAGGGGGAUAACUACUGGAAACGGUAGCUAAUACCGCAUAACGUCGCAAGACCAAAGAGGGGGACCUUCGGGCCUCUUCCCAUCCGAUGUUCCCAGAUGGGAUUAGCUAGUAGGUGGGGUAACGGCUCACCUAGGCCACGAUCCCUAGCUGGUCUGGGAGGAUGACCAGCCACACUGGAACUGAGACACGGUCCAGACUCCUACGGGAGGCAGCAGUGGGGAAUAUUGCACAAUGGGCGCUUGCCUGAUGCAGCCAUGCCGCGUGUAGGAAGAAGGCCUUCGGGUUGUAAAGUACUUUCAGCGGGGAGGAAGGUGUUGAGGUUAAUAACCUCAGCAAUUGACGUUACCCGCAGAAGAAGCACCGGCUAACUCCGUGCCAGCCGCCGCCGUAAGAC